AUACCUGAUUUUAGGUAAAGUAGAGGUACUGUGUUAAAUUUAUGCCUUUGUUAAGUUAAUAUUAUUAUUUUACCAGUCCGCUAGAAAAAGUUUCGCAUAGCCUACAAGAUACAUAGGAUGAUUUUACACUAGAGUGAAAUCACACAAAUACGUCAUAGAUCUGGCAAGAAGAAUAAAAAAAGAACGAAAAGGAACAGGAGCUCAACAUACAGUACAUCUUAUACAACGUGAGUAGCUUUGUCCUAGCACUGCUAAAGACUUAGGAUAAAUUAUCUGUAAAAAGAUAUUCGUAUAAAAAAACGUAAUAGGGUAAUUUCGGAUAACGACAUAUUGCUGUAGUGGUCCGCAGCAUAGGACAAGCCCGGUUAGUUAAAUCGCAAUUUACAAAAAUUACACAAAGCAUAUAUUCAUUGCAAACUUACAAAAUGUACAGGUACAAAUUAGUUUACGCGUCUUCUUCGUUUGUAUUGUCGAAAAACAGUCAUUUUGGGAAGCGCAUUGUCCCGCUUUUUUCGAUUGAGCGUUUUCGCAUUACUUGCAUUCGGCUCCAGCGGUCGCCAUGAAAUUUCAACCCUGUGUAAACUUUUAAGGCCUGUAAAUGCCGAGCGGAACACGGUCUCUGGCAGUAGUAAGUUGUCUUGUAGAAAGAUACCUAUAAUGUGUUUACACACUAUGUUAAAAUUCUCGGCAUAUGCUAUACAUGACUGAAGUAAAUUCCACACGCAACAGAUUUCGCAUCUUUU